UCCCUCUCAGGAUCGCACCUGGAGAGUUUCCAGGACUCUACCAGUCUCAGCUAUGGGAGGAAGAGUCAAGCAGAGGCACACCCAUUCCAUUCCUAGCUUGGGCAGUGGCUAGCGAGUGGAAGGCAAUCUGUUGCAAGU
rnacentral:snoRNA from 2 species